AUGAUUAUACUAAUAAUCAUCAAACUGAUAAUUCUGCAGCAUAUUUCAGAAUCCAGUGAUGUUACCCAGACACCAGUACUAUGGGUUCCAAAGGGUGAAUCUGCACAAAUGAACUGCAGUCAUACUAUGGGUGCAGACUAUUUCUACAUGUAUUGGUUUCGACAGCGGCAGGGAGAAACAAUGAGACUCAUUGCUUUUACUACAACUACAAACGACAAGCCAGAUUUGGGUGAAUUUUCUGUUGAUAAAUACUCAGCUGAAAAGACUGUAGCUGAUAAAGGGUCUUUCACAGUGAAGAAGCUGCAGCACGAUGACAGUGGUGUGUAUUUCUGUGCAGUGAGUAAACACAGUGACACAGACCUACUGUGCUGCUGUACAAAAACCUAAAAUGUUCGUGCUCCCUAAACACAGAACAGGUGCUAUGACAGAUGUUAACAAUGACAAUGAAAUUUUGCAGUUUGUUUGCAACUUCACCAUACUUGUAGGGAUCUUUUGAAAAUCUGAAUAUAAUGUUAAAAAUAAUAAUAACUAAAAUAAAUAAUCAAUUCAUAUCAAUUCAUUAAUAUUAUGACAAAAUUACCUGGUUGUUACUCCUUCUGCAAGAUUUGAUGGAGGUAGCAUAAUGGCAUGAAGUGUUUAAUCAUCAGAAUUAAUAUGUAGUCACUUACAUUUAAGACACAAUAUUAUAAGUUUUGUUUUCUGUUUUUGCUCCAUCAAUGAAAACAGUUUUAAACAAAGCCAUAGCAAAAGCUGUUGCAACACUGAACAACCUAAAAUGUUCAUGCUCCCUAAACACAGAACAGGUGCUACAACAACACAAUGGUUGAGCCACAAUAGAACAGGAAUCCAGCAGAUGGUGCUAAAGGCUAACAUUUACAGUAUAUUACAGGAGAAGAAGCUCACAUUCCUCGGGUUUUGGUGCCUCAAGUCAAUCUUCUUUCGGGACAAACAUUUUCUUAUACAUUUAAUUUAAUUAUAAUUUUUUUAUAACUUCUCUGUGUUUAAACUGUUAACAAAAUGAACAGCAGUCUCAUGUACUGUUCUUUAACUGGUGACAUAUCAGUUAGAAACAUUGUUAUACAGUACAUUUAUAAAAUAGAACAUAGAAUAUUGCAACAAUGAACAAAAUAUUGUAGAAUAUUGGGCAGCAGUCUUCCAGUUUUAUAUAUUCUUGUUAAUGAGUGUAUAUUCUUGUUAUUCUAGCUAAUUUUUAGAUAUCUCACUAAGCUAAAACAGGGAUAAUCUAAACACAAAAUUGAACUGAGAGGAUUUUCAAACAAGAAUGGGGCUUUGAUCGUUGAAAACCCUUCAAUGAGUAACAACAAUACAGUGUACUUCAUUAGACAAUAGUGUAAAUCAGUUAGAAUUAUUGUGAUGCAUUUAAAAAAAAUACACUACACAUGACAUGAGUAGCAUGAUGUCAACUCCCUUUACACUAAUAUAGUUCCAUUAUACUAUAUGUAUAGUUCAGUCAUGAAACUCUGGAUGGAGCAGACAUCGCUUAACAUCAGGGGUUCUCAACUCUGGCCCCUGAGGUCCACUUUCCUGCAGAGUUUAGCUCCAACCCUGAUCAAACUCACCUAUCUGUAUCUCAGUUAAUCUGAUCACAUCAUAUAUUGCAUGGCACAAACUGAUUGGCCUCCCCUGAUUCUGCAACCAAUGAGAUUGCUUACUCAACAUUUAAAUAGUCUGGUUCAAUGUUCGCUAUAAUGUGAUCCUGAAGUUCGCUAUCAUAUUUCCUCUGCAAACUGUCCUCCUCCCCCAGCUCCACCUGUCUAGAUCUACUAUUCUACUAUCAUUUCUACAAUCAUUUCAACACUGUGCGUGGCAGUAUUCUCUACAUUGAAGACAUUUUUAAUCCAUCCCACAAAAACACUAUAAAGGGACAAAGUGAUGUCAUAGUGACGUCACAUCAUGUGCUUCCCCAUAAAAAACUUUUACAGUUCCCUUCUGCAUUUAUGUCAUAUAGUCU
ensembl:lncRNA